GCCGGGUUGGCUCAGUUGGAAAAGCAUGGGACUUCUGAUCUCAGGGUCGUAAGUUUGAGCCCCACACUGGGUA
rnacentral:tRNA from 1 species